GAAUUGUUCGCAAUGGGCGCAAGCCUGACGACGCAACGCCGCGUGGAGGACGAAGAUCUUCGGGUCGUAAACUCCUGUCGAGCGGGAAGAAACCCGCGGGGAUGAAUAAUCCCUGCGGCUGACGGUCCCGCUAACGGAAGCCCCGGCUAACUCCGUGCCAGCAGCCGCGGUAAUACGGGGGGGGGCAAGCGUUGUUCGGAAUUACUGGGCGUAAAGGGCUCGUAGGCGGCCAACUAAGUCGGAUGUGAAAUCCCCAGGCUCAACCUGGGAACUGCAUCCGAUACUGGAUGGCUUGAAUCCGGGAGAGGGAGGCAGAAUUCCAGGUGUAGCGGUGAAAUGCGUAGAUAUCUGGAGGAAUACCGGUGGCGAAGGCGGCAUCCUGGACCGGCAUUGACGCUGAGGCGCGAAAGCCAGGGGAGCAAACGGG
rnacentral:rRNA from 1 species